rnacentral:rRNA from 1 species
UAGCUAGUUGGUGAGGUAACGGCUUACCAAGGCGACGAUCUGUAGCGGGUCUGAGAGGAUGAUCCGCCACACUGGAACUGAGACACGGUCCAGACUCCUACGGGAGGCAGCAGUGGGGAAUUUUGGACAAUGGGGGCAACCCUGAUCCAGCCAUGCCGCGUGAGUGAAGAAGGCCUUCGGGUUGUAAAGCUCUUUCGGCCGGGAAGAAAUCGCAUGGGCCAAUACCCUGUGUGGAUGACGGUACCGGAAUAAGAAGCACCGGCUAACUACGUGCCAGCAGCCGCGGUAAUACGUAGGGUGCGAGCGUUAAUCGGAAUUACUGGGCGUAAAGCGUGCGCAGGCGGUUUUGUAAGACAGGCGUGAAAUCCCCGGGCUCAACCUGGGAACUGCGUUUGUGACUGCAAGGCUAGAGUACGGCAGAGGGGGGUGGAAUUCCACGUGUAGCAGUGAAAUGCGUAGAGAUGUGGAGGAACACCAAUGGCGAAGGCAGCCCCCUGGGUCGAUACUGACGCUCAUGCACGAAAGCGUGGGUAGCAAACAGGAUUAGAUACCCUGGUAGUCCACGCCCUAAACUAUGUCAACUAGGUGUUGGGUGGGUAAAACCAUUUAGUACCGUAGCUAACGCGUGAAGUUGACCGCCUGGGGAGUACGGCCGCAAGGUUAAAACUCAAAGGAAUUGACGGGGACCCGCACAAGCGGUGGAUGAUGUGGAUUAAUUCGAUGCAACGCGAAAAACCUUACCUACCCUUGACAUGCCAGGAACUUGCCAGAGAUGGCUUGGUGCCCGAAAGGGAGCCUGGACACAGGUGCUGCAUGGCUGUCGUCAGCUCGUGUCGUGAGAUGUUGGGUUAAGUCCCGCAACGAGCGCAACCCUUGUCGUUAAUUGCCAUCAUUUAGUUGGGCACUUUAGCGAGACUGCCGGUGACAAACCGGAGGAAGGUGGGGAUGACGUCAAGUCCUCAUGGCCCUUAUGGGUAGGGCUUCACACGUCAUACAAUGGUCGGUACAGAGGGUCGCCAAGCCGCGAGGUGGAGCCAAUCCCAGAAAGCCGAUCGUAGUCCGGAUUGCAGGCUGCAACUCGCCUGCAUGAAGUCGGAAUCGCUAGUAAUCGUGGAUCAGCAUGUCACGGUGAAUACGUUCCCGGGUCUUGUACACACCGCCCGUCACACCGUGGGAGCGGGUUCCGCCAGAAGUAGGUAGCCUAACCGCAAGGAGGGCGCUUACCACGGCGGGGUUCGUGACUGGGGUGAAGUCGUAACAAGGUAGCCGUAGGGGAACCUGCGGCUG